rnacentral:lncRNA from 1 species
GUCCUUGCCAACCUGGGUCGUUCAACUGGGAUUGACCCACAAUAUCGAGCUGCCAUUGUGAAGGUAUAUUUGAAUGGAACACACAUUGGUUUGGAAUGGAGCUAACCUACUGAUGGUGCCUUAAAAAGCGACAACAGAGAGGAGAGAGCAGAAUGAGCUGUGCCCAUACCGUAGAUCUUUGUGUUCUUCACCCCAGGUCAGCCAUCUACUAAUCCUGCAGUGAUCUUUGAGAACUCGGAACAAAUAGAAGCUUUCCUGAAAGGCUCCUGUUGUUUCCUGCAGCAAUUUCCGACUCAGAGUCAAUAAAUUAAUUCAGUCUUGUGCUCAGCAAGAAGUUCGAGCUCAGCUCCAAAAAGUACAAAUGCACAACCCGUCGUUGCUGCUGUAAGCACUCUGUGUGCUGCUAGAAUGCCUUCAUACCGGGCUGCAAAAGUCUCUAGGGAUGUAUGUGUCCUUGUCUUAAAAAGAAAUUAAGCGAUAAGAAGCAGAAAGGGACAUAAAUCCUGCGAAGGAGAACAGCAGGGACUGCAGCUAGGUAGAUGCCAUCGGCAGAUGGAAUCAGAUCAUCUUCAAACACGUCAGGCUUCAUUUUAAUA